rnacentral:rRNA from 1 species
ACCGUAGGGGGCAAGCGUUGCCCGGAUUCACUGGGCGUAAAGCGCGUGUAGGCGGUCCUGUAAGUCGGUUGUGAAAUCCCACGGCUCAACCGUGGAAUUGCGUCCGAAACUGCGGGACUUGAGGACGGUAGAGGUCGGUGGAAUGUCCGGUGUACCGGUGAAAUGGGCAGAUAUCGGACGGAACACCAGUGGCGAAGGCGGCCGACUGGGCCGAUCCUGACGCUGAGACGCGAAAGCCAGGGGAGCGAACCGGAUUAGAAACCCCGAGUAGU